CGGCACCACUGGUCCUGAGUCUCACAGGCAGAAGUAAGUUUGGCCAGAGGAGGUUAGAAAGGUGGCCAGUGCAGCUGGAGGGAGCCUGGGAGGAGAGAACAGGAGCUGGGGUGGAAGGUAGGGCCAGGGCCUGGUAGGCUGUGUCAGUUACGUUUCCCUCUCUGACUUCAUUGCCCCAACCUUGCAUUUCAAAACUACAAAUGUUGACUAUCUCACAAUUUGUGUAGAUCAGCAAUCAGGCACAUUUUAGCUGGGUGCCUCUGCCUCAGUGAGUUUAACAAGUUGGGGCUGUGGCCUUAACUGAGGCUCAACUGGGGGAGGACUGGCCCCCAACUUCACCCUCAGCCUUCAGGAUUCAGUUUGGCCUGAGAGCCUGAGUUCCUUUCUGUUGGCCUCGGCACUCCCGUGCUGCUCUCCUCGAUGGGCCUCCACAAUGGGCAGCCCCAAUACACCGGUAUUUGAUUCCUCAGUUCCAGAGAUUCAGCAGAGUGAGAGAGAGAGAGAGAUGGAACAUGAGAGAGGGAGUAAGAGGAAGUGAGAGACUUUUUUAUUUAAAAUUUAGACAAGACAUCCCAUCGCUUUGGCUGUUAUUAUGUUCAGAAGCCAGUUACUAACCACUUAGUGGUUCCACGGGGAUGGCUAUACUAUGGGUGAGGCUUACUGGGUACCACUGUGGAGGCUGCCCACCUCAUAGGCCAAGAUGAGGCACUUGAGUCUCAUUCUCCAUAAAACAGGAAACAAUUGAAUGGUUUUAUGCCACAGAAUGGCAAUAUCUGAAUUUCCAUUAGUUGCAACCCCCUCAUGAUGCUGACCUGAAAAUGAAGUCAAGUUGGAAGUGACUGUCCCAAUAUCACAUUCCUGGAACCCAGGCCUGUUUUGAGUGGUGGUCUGUACUACAUCCCACCUCUCCUUGUUAUUCUUCCAUCUCUAAGUUUGGGCCUUAGGUACAUGUGACACCAGCCCACAGGGGUAAUAGAUAUUAUCUCAUAUACACUGGGUGACCUCCCUAGGAAGUAGAUUCUAGCCUGAUCCCCAUGGUGCAGGUUUGGAGACUAGGGAGGACCUGAGAGGCACAGGGACUAUCCCAGGAUGAAGAACUGGUAAGAAAAAGGAGGUCUGCAUUCAUCUCUGUCUCCUCAAAGCUAGGACCCUAGUUAGGUUUCCCAGGAGCUGUGGCUAGGGCUGUGUGGGCUCCUUGUGUACAGUUCAGGAGAUGACAUGGGGUCAUAGACCUCAAUAGAUCUUAUAACUCUCGUAACCAGGCACCCACAGCCCCCUAUCCAGCUCACUUGAUUGGAGACAGUCAGCAGGCAAAGAUGUUUUGUUGUUGUUUCCCAACUUUCUGAGGAUCUGGGCUCAAAAAAUCCCAGAAAGAGAAUCUUUUUGGUCGUUGCCAACGUUUAUUCAGCCCUCAUCCCCGAUGCCUCUGGGCAUCUGGCAGGAGGCAGUGAAAGGUAACACGGGGCAGCCCAGGAAAGGCUAGUGCAGGCCAGGGCACAGCUGUGAUCCCACCUGAUCAGCCCCCCACCCGUUGCCCCUCUUUGGGUGUGUGUGUGUGCGCGCGUGCGCACGCGCGCAUGUGUCUGUGUGGAGUGGGGAAGGCAGGGCAUGAGAGGUGGGUCAUUCCUAGGUUGGAGCUGGUUGUUAGGUGUCGGAAGCCUGGUGGGUCUGUCAUGUUCAUACCCCAGGUCAUGGCUGGCAGCAUGAGAAGGUGAGCUCCUCUACUCAUAUGUUACCGAGCCCUAGAGGUUUCAUCUGCUUCCCUCCCUGAUGGGAGUUCUUUGCAGGGAUGCUUCUCUGUGACUGAACUGAGGAGCAGACUUUCUCUUUGAGGUUGGCCCCAGUGGCAGUGUGCAGGCAGCCCCUGAUUCCUUCUGGCCCAGCUCCCGGGCAGUCUUUGUAGAACUUCACUCAGGAGGUCAUCGAGGAGCUGCCCGAUGGUUUCAACUCCACCAACUCACUAGACAAGAGGCAGGUGCACGAGGCCACCAACUCCAUCCACUGCUGCUUGAGAUAAGAGCAGGAGCAGAGGGUCUCCACACUCAGGACCUUGAGGUGACAGGCUAGGACCAGAACUGGGGCGGGACCAGACAGGGGCUGUCCCUUUUUCAAGCUAAAGGGGAUGUACAUGCAGGUUACCUUGCCUGGUUCGGAGCUGAGCUGCCUGACCCUCUUUCCCUUGUCUGGUGUGAGCUUCUUGAGGCCACUGAGGCAGAGCUGGAGGAUAAGGGGUACUGAAGGCUGGGUAUUCCUGGAAGGGAAGUGGAAUCUUUCCUGUGUUUAGAAGGAUGCAUGGAAAGUCAGCUAUGUGGGUCAAGUUUUCUCUUUAUCCCGCUCCAGCGCCAGCUGCAGAGCUCCAGCCAGCGGCAGAAGCAGAACAGCGGGCAGUGGUGGAGGUAGAGCUGGCUCCAGCUCCGUUGACACCACCCCCUAUAGCACAGGAGCCAGCGUCCCCUCCAGCAGCAGUGUUGGAGCUGGAGCAAGGGCCGACAUCGGCUCCAGCAGGAGUGAGAGCUUCUGAGCUGGAGUCACCUGGACCAUCAUUUCUAGUGGGAAGUCCAUCUCCACCUGUGGCUGUUAAGGAGCAUGAGAAGAAGCCUAACCUCACAGCCUUCCUCCUAAGCUGGUGGUGGAGCAGUUGACCAUGAUGGAUUAGGUGAGCAGCUGGGCUGUCAGGAUGGGGUGGGGCAGGUCUUCCCUCUGCCAUCAUUGCCCCAGACCUGAUCCGCACUCCUAUGACCAAAUCCCGGCUCCACCCCUUACCAACCGUACGACCUGGGAAACUUUCUGAACCCCCAAGGCUUUGCUGUCCACCUGCAGAGCGUAGAGGUGGACACUAACAGGACCUUUUGCACAGAGUGGCUGUGCCAACUCCAUGAGGAGCUCUUCUGGAAGGUGCUGCCCUCUCAGUGCCUGGGCUCCACUUGGGGCAAGAGGAACAAGCCUGGCAAUGAGCACCUGGCACCCACCGUCCAGGCCGCUGUCGACCACUUCAGAAGGGUGGUCAGCCUCGUCGUCACCACCUGCCUCGGGGACCCGAGCAUGACGGCCCAGGACAGGGCGAGGGUGGUGGAGCACUGGGUCCAGGUGGCCCAGGAGUGCGAGAUCCUGAAGAACUUCUCCUUGCCCCGCACUGUCAUCUCUGCUCUGCAGAAACCCUCCAUAAACCACCUGAAGAACACACGGGGGAAGUUUCCCGGGAGAGCUCUGAAAAUCUUAAGGAGCUUUAUAGCCACGACAAGUCCUUGAGCAGAGAACUGAUGACCAAGGAGGGGCCCUCCACCUUUGCCCCCCCGGAGAGCAGCCCCCAGAGAGUGCAGGAGAAGCAGCAGCAGCAGCAGGGGAAUGAGAUCAACCUUGAGAAGAGGACUGAGGAGCAGCUGCGGCACUCCCUGCAGGGGAGGGGAAGGAGGUGGAAAUCAGAGACCCUCUGGGCAGAAUAGUCCCUGGCUCCACCCCGUGUAUCUUACAUUGAGUGGAAGAGAUUGAUAACAGAGAAGUGGGAGACCCAUCCAAUUGGCGGGAAUACCGAGUCAUGAGGGAGAUCCUGCUGCUCCAGGUGGCCACAAAGAAUUACAACCAGAGCCCCAGGAGCGAUUUGGGGCCUGAUUCCAGGACAUGGAGCUGCUCAAUGAGAAUGAUAGCUACAGCCUGUCCCGCCAGUUGGAGCCCCAGACCUAGUUGGCUAGCAGAAUACUCAAGGCCAAGAAGAACCAGCCAUCAUCAAGGUCAGGGGUCAAAGACCAAGGGCAGAGGUCAUCAAGAGGUCAAGCCUAAUCUACCUACAGAUGUGGCAGCCUUAACUAUGGAUGUUCAAGCCAGACAUUGCCAGCAGAAUCACAUCUCUUCACCCAUAAGCUGCCAUGAUCCUCCCUCUGGAUCCCGUGGUCAGGAUCGCUGCAGAGAUCCUCCUUUUGGACCCCACCCGCCUGAAGGGCCUAUACCUUGGUCAGGCAUCUUAGAAGGCCUGCCGUGAGCCAUGUCAUAAAAAGGAGAAAACAUCACAGUGGACAGCCCCAAUUCCUGCAUAUACAGAUGGGAAACUUAGGUGCACUGCUUCUCUGAUUGACUCCAAAUACUACAGCACCACACGCUUCUAGACUGGUGGAUGCGCAGCUCCACUUCUUUGCAGGGAGGA